GACAGAGGGGGCAAGCGUUGCUCGGAAUCACUGGGCGUAAAGGGCGUGUAGGUGGUCUGUUAAGUCAUGUGUGAAAGCCCUCAGCUUAACUGGGGAAGUGCGCAUGAAAACUGACAGGCUAGAGUACCGAAGAGGAAGGUGGAAUUCCCGGUGUAGCGGUGAAAUUCGUAGAUAAUUGGGGAAGAACACCGGUGGCGAAGGCGGCGACCUGGUCCAUUACUGACG
rnacentral:rRNA from 1 species